CGGUGAAGCAGAGCUUGCUCUGUGGAUCAGUGGCGAACGGGUGAGUAACACGUGAGCAAUCUGCCCCUGACUCUGGGAUAAGCGCUGGAAACGGCGUCUAAUACCGGAUACGAGCUGCGACCGCAUGGUCAGUAGCUGGAAAGAAUUUCGGUCAGGGAUGAGCUCGCGGCCUAUCAGCUUGUUGGUGAGGUAAUGGCUCACCAAGGCGUCGACGGGUAGCCGGCCUGAGAGGGUGACCGGCCACACUGGGACUGAGACACGGCCCAGACUCCUACGGGAGGCAGCAGUGGGGAAUAUUGCACAAUGGGCGCAAGCCUGAUGCAGCAACGCCGCGUGAGGGAUGACGGCCUUCGGGUUGUAAACCUCUUUUAGCAGGGAAGAAGCGAAAGUGACGGUACCUGCAGAAAAAGCGCCGGCUAACUACGUGCCAGCAGCCGCGGUAAUACGUAGGGCGCAAGCGUUAUCCGGAAUUAUUGGGCGUAAAGAGCUCGUAGGCGGUCUGUCGCGUCUGCUGUGAAAACCCGAGGCUCAACCUCGGGCCUGCAGUGGGUACGGGCAGACUAGAGUGCGGUAGGGGAGAUUGGAAUUCCUGGUGUAGCGGUGGAAUGCGCAGAUAUCAGGAGGAACACCGAUGGCGAAGGCAGAUCUCUGGGCCGUAACUGACGCUGAGGAGCGAAAGGGUGGGGAGCAAACAGGCUUAGAUACCCUGGUAGUCCACCCCGUAAACGUUGGGAACUAGUUGUGGGGUCCAUUCCACGGAUUCCGUGACGCAGCUAACGCAUUAAGUUCCCCGCCUGGGGAGUACGGCCGCA
rnacentral:rRNA from 1 species